UUUAAGUGUAUUAUUAAUGAUUUUAAUUUAUUCGGUAUAUAUAUUAGUACAAAUAUUAAUGAAAAUAUUAGUUUAGAGUUUAUUAUUGAUGAUUGUAAGUCACUCGGUACGCAUAUUAGUUCAAGUGCAAGUGAAAAUAUUAGUUCGUAAACUAUAUAUAAACUAGUAAGCUAUAAGCUCAUGAAAAAAUGUUACCAAUUUUUUUUUU
rnacentral:lncRNA from 1 species